CUUUUUAAUUUCUUUUAAUUCAAAUUACCUUCUAUUGAAACAUUGGAACUUAUUUAAUCGAGUUUUAGGGCAAUAAACAUCGAUAAGUACCAGUCAAUCAAUGAUCGAAUUAACUUUUUAAAAACAAAAUGGCUGCCAAUAUGGCGGCGCCCAGGGCUGGAAGAAAUUUUUUUUGGCCUUAGUACCCCUGAUUCAACUUUCAUUUUUCACUGAUUUUCUUAUAUAUACGUGUUACCAUUAAUCCUCGCUUCGCGAGGCGGGCUUCGCCCGCCUCUCGCUGCGCUCGGUAUUAUAUAAAUAUCAUAGCAUUCGCAGCACAGUUAAGGCUGGAAUUUGGAGGCGGGGCUUAUUUUGAUCAACUUUGAACUCAUGAAUAUUCAUUAGAUAUGUAAUUUAACGUAAAUAGCAUCUAUUAAUGGUAGUUGAUUAGUUUUUGGAUUUAAUUUCUUGUUGAAGAGAGUUAAAUCAAAUAUUAAACCCCUCAUUGUGCAAUAAUGAUCUUUAUUUACUUAUUUUCAAUGAAACAUUAAUUGUCGUUUGGUUCCGAUCCGCUCCCUUCCGACGCUUGUAUCGAUCCGUGGCGUGUCGACUAUUUUUAGCUGGUAGCAAAAUGGCAGGCAUGGAUGUAAACAUGUGCGCCGAGAUGUUGUGGAUUGAUACUAUGCGUGUGGAUGUCGAACUAUGCAGGAGAUAUGACUCCUAUACUACUUGUGUUGUGUAGAAGAGGUGAAAGAUGCGGGGUACCCGUGUCAUGGUGUUUGAUUCCAUAUGAUGUAUGCUCCAGUGACUCAUUACAAUCAACUGCUUCAGCCCCUAAGUUGAAUUUAUCCAAUUGCAUUUAACAUGUUUUUGGCUUAUGCGUGAGACCAUCUGUAUCAAUUGGUGAAUUGGCUGGUUCUACCUCCCUAUGUUCCUGCCUGUUACCCAGCUUUUCCUAUGUGGAGACCAUCGGCAUAAUUUUGUAUGAGGAAAACAAUUAUGUGCAUUGAUAACCUCCAAACAGAAAUAUCAACAUGAUUAUAUAUGUUAAUUAUACAUAUACAAACCUAAUCUUAGUACAUGUAUUUAUAUGUUGAAUCUGAGCUAAGGAUUUUGCAUCCCUUGGUGUUUUUUUUUUAAUUAUUAGCAAUGAUAUUUAAAACUUAAACAGUCAAAAUUAAUGUUCAUAUGCAAAUAUUAUUUAUUUAAACCAUUAUUUAUUUGUUAACAGUUUCCUGACUAUGAGUUAUUUUUUCAAUAUUCCCUUGAAAAAUGAAUAAUAAAUGUUUGAAAAUCUA